CCAAUGGGGGAACGCAGCGCCGCCGGCUGGGGCGCCUCCGGGGCGGGGGCAGGAACACAAAGGGGUCUGUGGUGAAGCCCCGGGUAGAGGCGAGGCUGCGGGGCACCAGGCCCCGGGCGGCCGAGGCUCCUCCCUCCUCGUCUGCCGCCGACGCGAGGCCGAAGACGUAGGCCUCGCGCCGCGUGGCCGCCUCCGGAGCCCCGCCCCCCUGUCGGCGCCGGCCUUGCUCCGCCGCGGACCUCCCGCCCCUUCGCCGGCGCCGCAGAGCCCCCGAUCCCCCCUCGCGCCGCUGCCGCCGGCGUGAGCCCCGCCACGCCCCCGCCACGCGGUCGGGCCUCCCGCUAGGUCGCCUUUUGCGCGGUAGAGCCGGAGUUAAGGAUGUUGGGCUCGUCGUUUUGCUGGAGAAUUUCGGGUAGAAAAUCACCCUUCGGGACGAUCGGAAAACUGCACCCCCGCCUCCCUGGCUGCCUUCCGUGCCUCGCUAGGGCCGCUCCGAGCGUGAGGGGAAUCGCGAAAGUGGCCGUUGCUCCAGAGCAGCGGCGCCCACAAAUGACAGAGCAGGGACCUCUUUUCCACAGGAUGAAGAAACUCAGGCCCGAGUCAAAGCUGAGACAAACUCUGGCGUAACUCCAAACACCAAUCUCUUAAUCAUCAUGCUACACAGCUAGAAGGGGAAGAAUUGAUUUGUGAAAAUUAGUAAAAGGAAAUCUCAUUUGAAAUGGACUCAGCAGGCCAGAAGGGGGAGCUCCUGUGCAGUACCACUCCAGAUCAAUUACAGGAAAGAUAGUCAAUUACAGACCCCAACAGAAAGAAGUCAUUAACAGGAAGACAGUCAGUUAUAGACGCCAACAGAAAGAAGUCAACAGAGACGAAUCAUCAGUUACAGGAAGAAAUGUACAUUGCAUCCCAAGCAGAAAUCCGCUACCCCAGUAACUAAGCCAAUGAGAACCUAUCACCCUAAACUCUCACUUUCCUCCAAUGGACUUUCCUUCAAAACAACCCCUCCCAACUUCCUCCUUUUUCCCUGUAAAAUAAUGUUUCUCUCCCUCAUUUGUUGGAUUUGCCUAUAGUCUGCCAUAGCAUGCAUAUCCUGAAUUGCAAUUCUUUAGGUAUUGCCAAAUAAACACUUUUUCCUAGUAAACUAA